GAUGAACGCUGGCGGCGUGCCUAAUACAUGCAAGUCGAGCGAACAGACGAGGAGCUUGCUCCUCUGACGUUAGCGGCGGACGGGUGAGUAACACGUGGAUAACCUACCUAUAAGACUGGGAUAACUUCGGGAAACCGGAGCUAAUACCGGAUAAUAUAUUGAACCGCAUGGUUCAAUAGUGAAAGACGGUUUUGCUGUCACUUAUAGAUGGAUCCGCGCCGCAUUAGCUAGUUGGUAAGGUAACGGCUUACCAAGUCAACGAUGCGUAGCCGACCUGAGAGGGUGAUCGGUCACACUGGAACUGAGACACGGUCCAGACUCCUACGGGAGGCAGCAGUAGGGAAUCUUCCGCAAUGGGCGAAAGCCUGACGGAGCAACGCCGCGUGAGUGAUGAAGGUCUUCGGAUCGUAAAACUCUGUUAUUAGGGAAGAACAAAUGUGUAAGUAACUAUGCACGUCUUGACGGUACCUAAUCAGAAAGCCACGGCUAACUACGUG
rnacentral:rRNA from 1 species